rnacentral:rRNA from 1 species
UACGUAGGGUGCAAGCGUUAUUCGGAAUUACUGGGCGUAAAGCGUGCGCAGGCGGUUGUGUAAGGCAGAUGUGAAAUCCCCGGGCUUAACCUGGGAAUUGCAUUUGUGACUGUACGGCUAGAGUGUGUCAGAGGGGGGUAGAAUUCCACGUGUAGCAGUGAAAUGCGUAGAGAUGUGGAGGAAUACCGAUGGCGAAGGCAGGCCCCUGGGAUAACACUGACGCUCAUGCACGAAAGCGUGGGGAGCAAACAGG